GAAAAGGGUAUCGACCAGCAGGAUGGUCCACGUGUUGCCAAUUGGUGACACUGUGCAGAAUCGUAAUCAAGAGAUUCUGGAUACACAAUUUUUGAAAAAUGGGGCUGCGAAUAGCCGUUGUCUUUUGCGCCCCU
rnacentral:snRNA from 1 species